GUCCUGUUGAAGAGUCCCAAACUAGGACGAAACAGUUGUUCGGUAC
rnacentral:hammerhead_ribozyme from 1 species